UGGGGGAUCGUCCAGCGGCAGGACCGCGGAUUUUGGUUCCGCUAACCCAGGUUCGAAUCCUGGUCCCCCAG
rnacentral:tRNA from 1 species